GCAGAGGAGCCAUCGUCCUGGAGGAUCUCAUCCUGUCAGAUCACUGGAUCCAUAACGGGGGAUCCUACAGGAUCCAGGAGAAAAUCAAUGAGGGUCUGAGCAGGGCCCCUGGGGGACACAACCAGUUCUCACCGCAGCCGUAGAAUUACAAAAAAUAGAUGCGUUAAUAGUUUUUUUUUUUAUAUCGAUGAACGAAAUGCGAAGUGAAUGAGCAGAAGAGAAAUCUAAAGCUGAUCAAUAUUUGGGGUGUGAAUGAGAUAAUGUCGUCGCAGUGCACAUCCCAGAGCGGAGCGCAGCACAGUCAUUGGCGAGGAACGACAGACAUGUCCUAAACAAUCAGCAGCUGUGAGAUUGGAUUUAUUUCAGUCUCAGCAUUAAAAUCAAUCACUCAAGUGUGAGUGCACCCCCAGGAAUGUGGAGUGAAGGUGCAGCAGGGAGUGGGCCUGGGAACAUAAAACUAACAACGCAACAAAUAUGGAAGGAUUCCAGUACGUUUUACAUCUAUAGCACAUAAUGUA